AGAAGCUUCGACUAAGGUUCGAUUCGAGCGCAGCGAGAAAACGUUGCCGCAGGCAACGACCCGAAGGGUGAGGAGCGGAGCGACGAAUAAUCCUUCCCCCACCACCA
rnacentral:sRNA from 1 species